rnacentral:rRNA from 1 species
GACGAACGCUGGCGGCGUGCCUAAUACAUGCAAGUUGAGCGCUGAAGGUUGGUACUUGUACCAACUGGAUGAGCAGCGAACGGGUGAGUAACGCGUGGGGAAUCUGCCUUUGAGCGGGGGACAACAUUUGGAAACGAAUGCUAAUACCGCAUAAAAACUUUAAACACAAGUUUUAAGUUUGAAAGAUGCAAUUGCAUCACUCAAAGAUGAUCCCGCGUUGUAUUAGCUAGUUGGUGAGGUAAAGGCUCACCAAGGCGAUGAUACAUAGCCGACCUGAGAGGGUGAUCGGCCACAUUGGGACUGAGACACGGCCCAAACUCCUACGGGAGGCAGCAGCAGGGAAUCUUCGGCAAUGGACGAAAGUCUGACCGAGCAACGCCGCGUGAGUGAAGAAGGUUUUCGGAUCGUAAAACUCUGUUGGUAGAGAAGAACGUUGGUGAGAGUGGAAAGCUCAUCAAGUGACGGUAACUACCCAGAAAGGGACGGCUAACUACGUG